AUGAUUCCUUUCCAUCGCCUGGAAAUACAUAGUCAGACAUUUGGAACGAAAUAUUUAUUGAUUUCCGAUGCUGUGCUGUACAUGGAGUGAAAUCUACAACAAAUGACUUUGAUUUGACCCCUUGGUGUACGAUUUCCGGAUCUUGUCAGCAGACCAACUCACAGCUACCGAGAUCUUGUUGUAAGGGUAUAGAUAAAUCAAGCUAUACAUUGGCUCCCGCUGAAUGCCAUGAAUUUGUCUACAGCGGUUAUUACAACGAAAAGGGCUGUUCUGCUUUAUGGCUAGAUGCAGUUAAAGACUAUACAGACGAGAAAAAACUGGUGUUUCUCUGUGGAAUUGUAGCUGCCGUGUCACAUGCUGUAUCACUGAUAUUCUCCCUUUGUUUGGUGUUGGCCUUAUUGGUAAUGAAUAAUAAACAAGUAAAAGGAAACGGAGUAGAGGACACAGAAGGGGAAAUAAAAGGAAAAACAUGACAGAAGGAGAGUGUGGAAUAUGAAACUCAAGGAAUAUUAUAUUCAAUUUGCAUGCGCAGCUAAAACGCCAUACAAUAAUUUGUUGAU